rnacentral:lncRNA from 1 species
AUCUCUUGGAGCUCUAACUCACCUCUCUGGUGUUGUUCUUGUAUUCAUGUGAUUAAUCUAGUUCUUGCCAGUUCUUCUUGAACUUUUUGUUAGUUCUCAAUUCUGUAUUUCUAAGUCUGUGACAGUUUGUCAAGACUUCACUCACCUCAGAUAUCAGAGCUAGUUUCUUCCUCGUUAGAGUGCGGAUUACCCCUCUGCUUGGAAGUGUACUAGCAUUUUAGAGGUUGCGGAUUAUCCUCCUCUAAACUGAUACUUCUUUUGUUAC